GUGGGGAAUAUUGCGCAAUGGGGGCAACCCUGACGCAGCAAUACCGCGUGAGUGAAGAAGGUUUUCGGAUCGUAAAGCUCUGUUAUUGGGGAAGAAGAAGUGACGGUACCCAAUGAGGAAGUCCCGGCUAAUUACGUGCCAGCAGCCGCGGUAAUACGUAAGGGACGAGCGUUGUCCGGAAUCACUGGGCGUAAAGGGCGCGUAGGCGGUUUUAUAAGUCAGAUGUGAAAGGUACCGGCUCAACCGGUGACGUGCAUUUGAAACUGUAAGACUUGAGUACUGAAGAGGCAAGCGGAAUUCCUAGUGUAGCGGUGAAAUGCGUAGAUAUUAGGAAGAACACCGGUGGCGAAGGCGGCUUGCUGGGCAGAUACUGACGCUGAGGUGCGAAAGCAUGGGGAGCGAACAGGAUUAGAAACCCUAGUAGUCC
rnacentral:rRNA from 1 species